AUUGAACGCUGGCGGCAUGCCUUACACAUGCAAGUCGAACGGCAGCACGGGGGCAACCCUGGUGGCGAGUGGCGAACGGGUGAGUAAUACAUCGGAACGUGUCCUGUAGUGGGGGAUAGCCCGGCGAAAGCCGGAUUAAUACCGCAUACGCUCUACGGAGGAAAGGGGGGGAUCUUAGGACCUCCCGCUACAGGGGCGGCCGAUGGCAGAUUAGCUAGUUGGUGGGGUAAAGGCCUACCAAGGCGACGAUCUGUAGCUGGUCUGAGAGGACGACCAGCCACACUGGGACUGAGACACGGCCCAGACUCCUACGGAAGGCAGCAGUGGGGAAUUUUGGACAAUGGGGGCAACCCUGAUCCAGCAAUGCCGCGUGUGUGAAGAAGGCCUUCGGGUUGUAAAGCACUUUUGUCCGGAAAGAAAACGCCGUGGUUAAUACCCGUGGCGGAUGACGGUACCGGAAGAAUAAGCACCGGCUAACUACGUG
rnacentral:rRNA from 1 species